GCAAGUCGAGCGAACAGACGAGGAGCUUGCUCCUCUGACGUUAGCGGCGGACGGGUGAGUAACACGUGGAUAACCUACCUAUAAGACUGGGAUAACUUCGGGAAACCGGAGCUAAUACCGUCUUUCACUAUUGAACUGCAUGGUUCAAUAGUGAAAGACGGUUUUGCUGUCACUUAUAGAUGGAUCCGCGCCGCAUUAGCUAGUUGGUAAGGUAACGGCUUACCAAGGCAACGAUGCGUAGCCGACCUGAGAGGGUGAUC
rnacentral:rRNA from 1 species